rfam:Mycobacterium abscessus strain PAP053 genome assembly, contig: ERS075544SCcontig000001
GGUCAUGAGUACCAGCGUCAAGCCCCGGCUCGCUGGUCGGCAACCCUCCAACCGCGGUGGGGUGCCCCGGGUGAUGACCAGGUUGAGUAGCCGACUGGGCUGUCAGAGGUUGAUGACGGAACAGUCGGCCACACGGCAAGCGCGGGUC